CCGGAAGCAGCCGUUUGAAGAGAGUGCGCAAGGGAAUAUGAAGUCAAAGCAGAAGAGUUUCGAGAAGAAGGAGUACUCAACAGCAUCAAGGAAACAAGUUAGGUUAGUUGUCAAGGGCUCAUGAGAUUACACAGAGCUAACUUUAAGUAAGACUCCAAGAGGCAUCAAAAAGCAAUAACAAAGACAAGCUAGAUAAUCAUACUCCAGUAUGGUAUUAGAAGAUAUUUAACAACUCCCACACUCUUUGGGGUGAGUAUGCCCCUGAGAUGCUUGGUUAAUUCUGGAGCAGAGCAAAGAGAAGUAUCCCAAGGAAGAUCCUUGACUAUCAACUCAAUAUAGCAGAUGAAAAUGACCCUCUACAUACCAGUGUUUGUCCAUGUGAGUAUGGCUUUAUGUGAUUUUGACACAUAAAGUUAGCUAAUUCUUUAUAUUUUUGUGGGUGGUCAAGAGUAAGAUUCAAUGUCAUUUCACAGAUCAGGAUUAAAAGAAGAUUUUAGGCUGGGCA